rnacentral:lncRNA from 1 species
GUCGUCUUUACAUAGACGAAGCAGGAAAGAUCAGACAUUCCAUCCUCCGGGUGUUUGUCACAGUUCAGCAUCCAAGCUGAAUCUCUAGUUACCAUGGAUGGAGAUGACCUUUCCUGGCUAUGCUAGCCAGCUUUCUGACCUCAAAAAAAACACCAGCAUUUAAGAUAUUGAGGGUCAGAAAAAUAUCAAGAACAGGCAGCUGAUUCUCAGGUGUCAAGCUCAAAAUCAGCAAGAAUCGGGUAGCAGAUGCAGAAGUCUGACUGGGAGCGAGAUCCCUCUCCCCUCUCCACCACGCACUAGGAGUGGAUACUAAAGCCAGAGGAAGGCUGACAACAUGAGGUGUUUCACAAAGGACAACAGGACGACAAGAGCUACCCUCAUCAUACAGAGAUCAAAAAGUAACCAGACGACAUGAGAGCCCUUCCCAACUCCAGCUAAGUGUCAGUGAGAAGGGACAAGUCGCAGCAGGGCUUUUCCCUGAGUUUGUGUGGAAGGAACAAGAACCGUUCUCUCUAUCAGGAACAACAGAUAACCAGAGCCAGAAAGAACACUUCUGUUAUCAGAAUGAUGCUCUACCACACACAUCUAUCUGAUCUUGACCACUAGAAUGAAGCUCACCCUCACUGUCAAGUGCCAGGUUUGAGAGCAGGGCAUCCGAACUGGCCUUUCAAUCCUAGGGCCCUCUUCCCUACUGUUUCCAAACCAACUAAGCCAAAACUGUAGUUCUGGUGAGGCUGUUGAGAAGACUCAGAGGUUAAAAGUACUUGCUGCUCUAUGGAGGACUCAGGUUCAGUUCCCAACACCCAUAUGAUCGCUCAUGAUCAUCUACAACUCCUGUUGCAGUGACUCUAGUGCCCUCUUCUGGCCUCUACAGGCUUCUGCAUGCCCGUGGUGCAUAUAAACUCAUACAGGAGAAUACACAUAUACAUAAAGUAAGUAUCAGAUGGACAUGUGGUAGAAGCCUUUAAUCCAAGCAAACCGAGAUAUAAAGGCAGGUGGGGUGGAUCUCUGUGAGUUUGAGGCCAGCCUACUCUAAACAAUGAAUUCCAGGCCAGUCACAGCUACAUAAUGAUUCUCCCUCCCUCCUUUCCCCUCCCUCCAUCCCUCCCUCUCUGUUUCUAUCUCUGUCUCUCUCUGUCUCUUUCUCUAUGCGUGUAUAUCUGUCUGUCUGUCUCCUUCCUCUCUCCCUCCCUUCCUUCUCCUCUCCUCUCCUCUCCUCUCUCCUUUCUCUCCUCUCUCUUUCUCUCUCUCUCUCUCUCUCUCUCUCUCUCUCUCACACACACACACACACAACACACACACCAAAUAAUAGAUUUAAGAAACUGAAAGUUUUCCUUAUUUAUCUUACCUGGAAAAAGCUAAACAGUUAAGAAGUACCAAAAAAAAAAAAA